GAGAGCUGGGUCUUUGCGGGCAAGAUGAGAGUGUCAGUUCAACUGGCCUACAAAGUCCCAGUCCUC
ensembl:miRNA Mir193a microRNA 193a